UACGGCCGUACCAUGCUGAAUAUACCGGUUCUCGUUAGAUCACCGAAGUCAAGCAGUACUUGGGUGGGUGACCACCUGGGAACACCGCGUGCCGUU
rnacentral:rRNA from 1 species